UAGGGAAUCUUCGGCAAUGGACGAAAGUCUGACCGAGCAACGCCGCGUGAGUGAAGAAGGUUUUCGGAUCGUAAAACUCUGUUGGUAGAGAAGAACGUUGGUGAGAGUGGAAAGCUCAUCAAGUGACGGUAACUACCCAGAAAGGGACGGCUAACUACGUGCCAGCAGCCGCGGUAAUACGUAGGUCCCGAGCGUUGUCCGGAUUUAUUGGGCGUAAAGCGAGCGCAGGUGGUUUAUUAAGUCUGGUGUAAAAGGCAGUGGCUCAACCAUUGUAUGCAUUGGAAACUGGUAGACUUGAGUGCAGGAGAGGAGAGUGGAAUUCCAUGUGUAGCGGUGAAAUGCGUAGAUAUAUGGAGGAACACCGGUGGCGAAAGCGGCUCUCUGGCCUGUAACUGACACUGAGGCUCGAAAGCGUGGGGAGCAAACAGGAUUAGAUAGCCCUGGUAGUCCACGCCGUAAA
rnacentral:rRNA from 1 species